ACGGCUGUCGAUUACAGAGGUGGUGAACCAGCUGCAGGAGAUAGCAGCAGCACGCAAUGUGAACCCUAAAUCUCCUGUUACAGAACUUUUGGAGCAGAACGGAGGUUUUGGCAACAAUGGAGCUCAGCUGCCUCUGCAGAUCCACAGCGUACAAAACAAUGCAGGUGUGUAUGAUCCUGAUCAAGCAGGCAGUGGCUUCUUGGAUAUCUUGAGGGGAGGAACAGAGCGCUUCCUGACCAAUAUCAAGGACACAUCCUCGAAAGUCAUCCAGUCUGUAGC